AAUUCGACAGAUCAUAAAUCCAUGAAAGGUCAUUGUAGUGUAGGGUUAUCGUGUUUUGAAGGGUCUCUACCUGCCCUUGAAGAAGAGCAUCUCGCCCCUCAGGGUGCUCACAGCGUCGAGGACCAUGGUUGCGUCGCAGGAGUUGGGGGUUGUGGGUGGUGUGGUUUCAAUUGGGGUCACGUUAGGACCUGGAUGGACAUGGGACUGGAUUCCGUUGACAUCGUCGCGGGGCAGCUGAAACGUGUCGGGGUUCUUGUAGAUGUAAUUUGGGUACAUGAGCGCACCGGGGUCCCUGGAGUGGCCCAAGCCCAGGGAAUGUCCAAACUCAUGGG